AUGUCCUCUUCGGGCUAUGUCGCCGUCCCUCGGUGCUCGGUGAUCUUCGAUGGCACCAACUACCCCGAGUUUGCAGGGUUCAUGCGCAUUCAUAUGCGUGGUCUCUUUCUAUGGGGCGUUCUCUUUGGCGAGGUCUCCUAUUCGCCAUGCCCUGUUGCUCCUGUGGCUCCUACCCCGCCGGUGCCGCCAGUCCUUGCUCCUGAUGCUUCUCAGGCUGAUCGAGAUGCCGCCAAGGUGCUUGAUGAUGCUGCGGUUGAUGCUUAUGAUCAACAGGUAUCUGUCUAUUCAGAUGCUCUUUCUGUCUACGGGAUGAUCUGUCUGCUUACACUCAGUGGUGCAAUGAUGAUGCCCGUGUUGGUGCUGUUCUUACUGCGAGUGUCCUUCCUCAGUUUGCGUCAGAGUUCAUGGGCCUCGGCACCGUUGCAGGGAUGUGGUCUUAUCUCUGUCAGCGUUAUCAGCCCUCUGGUGAUGCUCUUUACUUAUCUGUGGUGCGACAGGAGCAUGCUCUUCAGCAGGGUGACUUGA
rnacentral:rRNA from 1 species